rnacentral:lncRNA from 1 species
AAAAAAAGCAAUUUAAAACAAAGUGACUUAUAAGUAAAUUAGACUCCUUUCGUAUAGCUUGACAGGAUGCAGUGUUAUCUGGCACUUUAGCAAAAUUCAAUUUAUCCCAAACAAUCUAACAAAUGAAUUCUCGUCAUACGUCCUCGUACAAAUGAACAAAAUGAAUGUUUUUGAGGGAGCACACGGAACAUGUUUCCCGCUACCAGCUUGAACAAGCAUGUACUCUCAAUCCUUGACAAAUGCAACAACCUUAAUCACCUCAAACAACUUCAAGCUCAUCUCAUCACUCUCGGCCAUGGCCAAACCCAUUUCUACUCAUUCAAACUGCUUCGUUUUUGUACAGUAAAUGUCUCAGAUCUCGCCUAUGCCCGGUACAUUUUCGACCACUUCAAUUCACCUAAUAUUUAUCUUUACACAGCGAUGAUUACUGCAUAUAAUUCUCUAUGCGAUCAUACUUCAUCUGUGUUGCUUUAUCGCAAAAUGGUGAGAAGAAAUUAUUCGAAGCCUAAUGAGUUCAUAUUCCCUAUUGUUUUGAAGUCUUGCCCGGAAGUGGUUACACCUUAUGGGACUCAAAUGGUACAUACCCAGAUUGUGAAAUUGGGUUUUUGGCAAUACACAGUUGUGCAAACGGCGCUUUUGAAUGCAUAUUCAAGAUAUGGUGUUGAUAUUGCCCUUGCGAGAAAGAUGUUUGAUGAAAUGUCUGAAAGGAAUGUGGUGUCAUGGACUGCGAUGAUUUCAGGGUAUACGAGAGUUGGGGAAGUGGGGCAUGCAGUUCUUCUUUUUGAAGAAAUGCCUGAGAGUAUUAGAGAUACUCCGUUUUGGAAUUCUAUUAUCGCAGGGUGUAUGCAGAAUGGGUUGUUUUCGGAGGCCAUUGAAUUUUUUAGAAGAAUGAUUUUUGAGGAGAGGGUAGGGGGUAGGAAUAGACCUAAUCAGGUUACGGUGGUCUGUACGCUUUCUGCUUGUGGGCAUUGUGGAAUGCUGCAGCUUGGGAAAAGCAUUCAUUCAUAUAUUUUUAGGCAUGCUCUUGGUUUGGAUUUGUUUCUUGCAAAUUCUUUGAUUGAUAUGUAUGGGAAAUGUGGGAGCUUGAAUAUAGCAAGAAUGAUUUUUGAUCGGAUUAAAAAGGUGAAUUUAACUUCUUGGAACUCUAUGAUAAAUUGUUUUGCGCUGCACGGUCAGAGCGUGGGAGCUAUCGGUGCUUUUGAGGAAAUGCUGCAUCACGGGGAUGAAGUGAAGCCAGAUGGAGUGACUUUUAUUGGGUUGUUAAACGCUUGUACCCAUGGAGGGUUAGUCGAGCAGGGCCGUCAGUAUUAUGAAAUGAUGAUUAGGGAGUAUGGGAUUGAGCCUCAGAUUGAGCAUUACGGGUGCAUGGUAGAUCUUCUAGGUCGAGCCGGUCGAUUUGAAGAGGCUAUGGAAGUUGUGAGGCGGAUGAGGAUUCCACCUGACGAGGUUGUAUGGGGUUCUUUGCUUAACGGGUGUAGGA